rnacentral:rRNA from 1 species
CUGGGAGGACCAUCUCCUAAGGCUAAAUACUCUCUAGUGACCGAUAGUGAACCAGUACCGUGAGGGAAAGGUGAAAAGCACCCCGGAAGGGGAGUGAAAUAGAACCUGAAACCGUGUGCUUACAAGUAGUCAGAGCCCGUUAAUGGGUGAUGGCGUGCCUUUUGUAGAAUGAACCGGCGAGUUACGAUUUGAUGCAAGGUUAAGCAGUAAAUGUGGAGCCGUAGCGAAAGCGAGUCUGAAUAGGGCGUUUAGUAUUUGGUCGUAGACCCGAAACCAGGUGAUCUACCCUUGGUCAGGUUGAAGUUCAGGUAACACUGAAUGGAGGACCGAACCGACUUACGUUGAAAAGUGAGCGGAUGAACUGAGGGUAGCGGAGAAAUUCCAAUCGAACCUGGAGAUAGCUGGUUCUCUCCGAAAUAGCUUUAGGGCUAGCCUCAAGUGAUGAUUAUUGGAGGUAGAGCACUGUUUGGACGAGGGGCCCCUCUCGGGUUACCGAAUUCAGACAAACUCCGAAUGCCAAUUAAUUUAACUUGGGAGUCAGAACAUGGGUGAUAAGGUCCGUGUUCGAAAGGGAAACAGCCCAGACCACCAGCUAAGGUCCCAAAAUAUAUGUUAAGUGGAAAAGGAUGUGGCGUU